rnacentral:rRNA from 1 species
CCUACGGGAGGUAGCAGUAAGGAAUCUUCCACAAUGGGCGGAAGCCUGAUGGAGCAACGCCGCGUGGGUGACGAAUGUCUACGGAUCGUAAAACCCUGUUUUUAGAGAAGAAAGUGCGUGAGAGUAACUGUUCACGUUUCGACGGUAUCUAACCAGAAAGCCACGGCUAACUACGUGACAGCAGCCGAGGUACUACGUAGGUGGCAAGCGUUAACCGGAUUUAUUGGGCUUAAAGGGAACGCAGGGGGUCGUUUAAGUCUGAUGUGAAGGCAUUCGAGUUAACCGGAGGAGUGCAUUGGAAACUGGGAGACUUGAGUGCAGAUGAGGAGAGUGGAACUCCAUGUGUAGCGGUGAAAUGCGUAGAUAUAUGGAAGAACACCAGUGGCGAAAGCGGCUCUCUGGUCUGUAACUGACGCUGAGGUUCGAAAGCGUGGGUAGCAAACAGGAUGAGAUACCCGUGUAGUC